CAGAGGGGCAAGCGUUGUUCGGAAUUACUGGGCGCAAAGGGCGCGUAGGCGGCCUGCUAAGUCGAACGUGAAAUCCCCGGGCUCAACCCGGGAACUGCGUCCGAUACUGGCAGGCUUGAAUCCGGGAGAGGGAUGUGGAAUUCCAGGUGUAGCGGUGAAAUGCGUAGAUAUCUGGAGGAACACCGGUGGCGAAGGCGGCAUCCUGGACCGGUAUUGACGCUGAUGCGCGAAAGCCAGGGGAGCAAACGGGAUUAGAUACCCCGGUAGUCCUGGCCCUAAACGAUGAAUGCUUGGUGUGGCGGGUAUCGAUCCCUGCCGUGCCGAAGCUAACGCAUUAAGCAUUCCGCCUGGGGAGUACGGUCGCAAGGCUG
rnacentral:rRNA from 1 species